AGUUUAUAUAAGCUCUUCUUUGGAUUCUGCCAUUCUACAACAAGCAUACAUCAAGCACACAUAACUCCUCAGUCCUCAUCAAGCACACAAAAAACACUCAUAUCUUUGUCUACUAUACUCACAUACCGGAAAAUUAUACUCUCUGUCCUAAAAUAAUAGUCGUUUUGACUUUUUGACAGAAUUUGAGGUGAAAAAAAAUAUAGAAUUUCUAAGUAUUGCGGAGAUGAAAGGCAGUAAUGGCAGGAAAGUGAAUUGGUUCUCAUCAGUCGUUUCACGUUUCUUGAGGGGUGAUAAAUGCAAUAAGGUGAAGAGUUCUCGAAAACCAGCAGUUCCGAGAGGACCAGAAGCUAGCAUGGUUGCUGCUGCUAAACAUUUCUCCUCUGCCCACAAAGUUCGUUUAGUUUAGUUUUUUCUUUCAUUUAAUUUCCUCACGGCAAACAAUAUGAAGUAGCAUUUUUACCAACAAGGCAACAAGUCAAGUCAUGCUCCGAUCCGAUGAUGUUCAACUGAGGUUGCUAGAAUUACUAGUCUUGUGCACCAUGCAUGCACUUGCUAGUAAUUCAGCUUUAGAUUUGGACACAGGCGUUUGAAUGAUUUGUGUUCGAAAUUUCCGUCGUAAAAAAGCUGUAUACUUGUAGUGUUAUGGAUGAUGAAGAACAGGUUGGUUAAUGCAACGAACUCUCAUGUCCUCCUGUUACUAAUUAUCAGUGUCUGUAUAAUUCUGGAUUCUGAAAACUUCUCGUUAAAGAAAAAGGGCUCUCUGCAUAGUGCAUUCUGGAUUCUUGUUAGCCGAUACUUUAUUAUACUAAUGUUUUGGGCUGGGAAUUAGUUUUUUUUCCCCCCCAAAGCUGGGAAUUAGUUUGUGCUGGGUUUAUACGGUUAGCCUUUUAGCCAAAAUCCAAAUCUUUAUUUUAAUGAAUUUUCUCCCUGAACUCCG
rnacentral:lncRNA from 1 species